rnacentral:rRNA from 1 species
CUACGGGUUGCUGCAGUGGGGAAUAUUGCACAAUGGAGGAAACUCUGAUGCAGCAACGCCGCGUGGAGGAUGACACUUUUCGGAGCGUAAACUCCUUUUAUAUAGGAAGAAGAUGACGGUACUAUAUGAAUAAGCGCCGGCUAACUCCGUGCCAGCAGCCGCGGUAAUACGGGGGGCGCAAGCGUUACUCGGAAUCACUGGGCGUAAAGAGCGUGUAGGCGGAUUAAAAAGUCAGAAGUGAAAUCCUAUAGCUUAACUAUAGAGCUGCUUCUGAAACUCUUAAUCUAGAAUAUGGGAGAGGUAGAUGGAAUUUCUGGUGUAGGGGUAAAAUCCGUAGAGAUCAGAAGGAAUACCGAUUGCGAAGGCGAUCUACUAGAACAUUAUUGACGCUGAGACGCGAAAGCGUGGGGAGCAAACAGGAUUAGAUACCCCGGUAGUC